GACGAACGCUGGCGGCGUGCUUAACACAUGCAAGUCGAACGGAAAGACCCUGCUUUUGUGGGGUGCUCGAGUGGCGAACGGGUGCGUAACACGUGAGUAACCUGCCCUUGACUUUGGGAUAACUUCAGGAAACUGGGGCUAAUACCGGAUAGGAGCUCCUGCUGCAUGGUGGGGGUUGGAAAGUUUCGGCGGUUGGGGAUGGACUCGCGGCUUAUCAGCUUGUUGGUGGGGUAGUGGCUUACCAAGGCUUUGACGGGUAGCCGGCCUGAGAGGGUGACCGGCCACAUUGGGACUGAGAUACGGCCCAGACGCCUACGGGAGGCAGCAGUGGGGAAUAUUGCACAAUGGGCGGAAGCCUGAUGCAGCAACGCCGCGUGCGGGAUGACGGCCUUCGGGUUGUAAACCGCUUUCGCCUGUGACGAAGCGUGAGUGACGGUAAUGGGUAAAGAAGCACCGGCUAACUACGUG
rnacentral:rRNA from 1 species